CCUACGGGUGGCAGCAGUAGGGAAUCUUCCACAAUGGGCGCAAGCCUGAUGGAGCAACACCGCGUGAGUGAAGAAGGGUUUCGGCUCGUAAAGCUCUGUUGUUGGAGAAGAACGUGCGUGAGAGUAACUGUUCACGCAGUGACCGUAUCCAACCAGAAAGUCACGGUUAAAUACGUGCUAGCAGCCGCGGUAAUACAUAGGGGGCCAGCGUUAUCCGGGUUUAUUGGGCGUAAAGCGAGCGCAGGCGGUUGUUUAGGUCUGAUGGGAAAGCCUUCGGCUUAACCGAAGAAGUGCAUCGGAAACCGGCCAACUUGAGUUGAGAAGAGGACAGUGGAACUCGAUGUGUAGCGGUCGAAUGCGUAGAUAUAUGGAAGAACACCAGUGGCGAAGGCGGCUGUCUGGUCUGCAACUGACGCUGAGGCUCGAAAGCAUGGGUAGCGAACAGGAUUAGAUACCCCUGUAGUC
rnacentral:rRNA from 1 species